GACGAACGCUGGCGGCGUGCCUAAUACAUGCAAGUUGAGCGCUGAAGGUUGGUACUUGUACCAACUGGAUGAGCAGCGAACGGGUGAGUAACGCGUGGGGAAUCUGCCUUUGAGCGGGGGACAACAUUUGGAAACGAAUGCUAAUACCGCAUAAAAACUUUAAACACAAGUUUUAAGUUUGAAAGAUGCAAUUGCAUCACUCAAAGAUGAUCCCGCGUUGUAUUAGCUAGUUUGUGAGGUAAAGGCUCACCAAGGCGAUGAUACAUAGCCGACCUGAGAGGGUGAUCGGCCACAUUGGGAAUGAGACACGGCCCAAACUCCUACGGGAGGCAGCAGUAGGGAAUCUUCGGCAAUGGACGAAAGUCUGACCGAGCAACGCCGCGGGAGGGAAGAAGGGUUUCGGAUCGUAAAACUCUGUUGGUAGAGAAGAACGUUGGUGAGAGUGGAAAGCUCAUCAAGUGACGGUAACUACCCAGAAAGGGACGGCUAACUACGUG
rnacentral:rRNA from 1 species